rnacentral:rRNA from 1 species
UCUUACCGGGUCCGGACACACUGAGGAUUGACAGAUAUAUACCCCGUGAUUUUAUCGCCGGGUUGAAAGAUGCUAGUUCUUUCAUGAUUAUGUGAUAGGUGGUGCAUGGCCGUUCUUAGUUCGUGGAGUGAUCUGUCUGCUUAAUUGCGUAUCAAUAAUAGAGACCUAGUAUACGCGUAGACUCAUGCGGUAGUGACCCCCCUUCACAGGGCGCGUGUCGCACGUAUGUUAUACGCACAGGUCUCCGAUAGCAACGAACGUGACCGUACUCUAUUGUUGCAGCGACAAUACCUUUCAACGGGUAUUACCGCUGCUUUCAAGAUUCGUCUUGCAUUAAACUAUAGAGACCGCUGUUUCUUCUUUAAACCAGAGGAAGGAUACGGCAAUAACAGGUCUGUGAUG